rnacentral:rRNA from 1 species
UACGGAGGGUGCAAGCGUUGUUCGGAUUUACUGGGCGUAAAGGGCGGGUAGGCGGCCACCGCAAGUCAGUUGUGAAAUCUCCGGGCUUAACCCGGAAAGGUCAACUGAUACUGCGGGGCUAGAGUGCAGAAGGGGCAACUGGAAUUCUCGGUGUAGCGGUGAAAUGCGUAGAUAUCGAGAGGAACACCUGCGGCGAAGGCGGGUUGCUGGGCUGACACUGACGCUGAACUGCGAAAGCUAGGGGAGCGAACGGG